CUGAAUUUUUGGAUUUUUUUUCAGACAAAGUAACAACAUUUUUUGGUGCCUGUAAAUGAGGACAACAGGAGGAUUAAAAUACCCCAAAGGUGUUCUACUGGAUGUAAGUCAUGAAACAUACUUCAGGGCAUAGUUCCUGGUGUGAUUUUGGUUCUAAUGCUGGGAUAUUUCUCUUCUUACAGCAUCUGCAGACUGGGAAUCAUCUUGUCAGCCAGUAGUUUGGUUUAUCUUCAGACAUCUAGAAAUGUCAUCAACCAUCACAUGAAUUAAAAGCACAGGGAGCUGGCAAAGAUUAGCCAAAAAGCCCAAAAGGUAACAAGCAAGGGAACAAACUGAAGCAAGAAGUAAAGUAAAAUCUUAAAAAUGUACAAACCAGUAGCUGUUGAGGAGAAGUCAGGCAGGUAAACUCCAGGUAAGUCAAUGUGCAGGUGGACCAGGAGACCAAAGAGCGCUGGCAACUAGGUAAAACUGCCAAAAAAAACAGAAGAAAAUGCAGGACUAUACUAUAAAGACAGAGAACUGAUGAGUAAACAAUACACAGGUGAAAUGAACCAAUGGGGCAGGGCAGCCUUUAAAAAAUGGAGGGAAAACUCACAAAGGAAGGAACUAAAACUCCCGGAGCAUGUAAACGACUUCAAAAUAAAACAUGAAGCAACUGAAAAGGGACAAGGAACAUGGAAACACACAAGAUGUGAUCUAACAAAAGAAAAAACAAGCACCGAAACCCAAAGACAAUGACUGCAGCCAUGAUUAGUGGUACGAUGGCUCCUUAAAUACCUCCUUAUUACUGCUGACCAAUGUUCCCUGUAAUUUUUCCUGAGUGUGAGCAAACACACAAACUCCCUGAGCGUCCCUUGGACCACUGUGAGCAACAUCAGACGUGUGCACUGUGGUCACACCAGCAUCACAUCCAUUCAAGUUACAUGGUUCAUUAAAAGAAUCAAAUUACAGCGUUUACAUUUCUGUUAAAACACUUUGUCAACAGGAGCCAGUUGAAGGCUGCAGUGAUUUUAGUGACACUACAAUGUAUAAGAGUGAAGUUACUGAAUAUUUGUCUCUCUUUACUGUUGCAGUGGUUUUGCAAAUUGCAGACGGACCCUGUUCACUCCAUAGACACC
ensembl:lncRNA